CUACCACCAAAGGGCCCCCCAUGUGCUCCUUUUGGGGUGAUACCUGAUUUUGACACAUUCGUAGACACCUCGUUGGUGGGUAUUGCCGAAUGCGAGGAUGCAGGUUUUACUUCUCUAUUUGUAUUUCGAUUAACUCUGUUAUCUCUUACAACACGGAACUCUUUGCUGAUACCAGGCCAAGAACUUUUUGCAUAGGCCCCCCUCCGGACAUUACGAUCAGACAAUGUAUAUACCUUUGUCCCUUGCCUCACAUCCUCAGAAUUUCUUUGUGCAUCCAAUGAACCUUUGUAUCCCAUAUUCUCCUUCUUCUUAUCUCUUCUUCUCUUCACUUCACGAAAUGGAUCUUGGUUGAGCAACUUCUGUGCAGUUUCAUUAGGAUCCAUAUUGGUUUCCUUGAGAGUUGUAUAUAUAUCAGCAUCGGAGUGAUUGCCGACGAUCUCUUUGAUGGAUUGUAUGG
rnacentral:misc_RNA from 1 species